rnacentral:rRNA from 1 species
GCAGCCUGAUGCAGCCAUGCCGCGUGUAUGAAGAAGGCCUUCGGGUUGUAAAGUACUUUCAGCGGGGAGGAAAGGACUAAAGUUAAUACCUUUGCUCAUUGACGUUACCCGCACAACAAGCACCGGCUAACUCCGUGCCCGCACCCGCGGCAAUACGGAUGGUGCAAGCGUUAAUCGGAAUUACUGGGCGUAUAGCGCACGCAGGCGGUUUGUUAAGUCAUAUGUGAGAUCCCCGGGCUCAACCUGGGAACUGCGUCUGAUACUGACGAGCUUGAGUCUCGUAGAGGGGGGUAGAAUUCCAUGUGUAGCAGUGAAAUGCGUAAAGAUCUGGAGGAAUACCGGUGGCGAAGGCGGCCCCCUGGACCAAGACUGACGCUCAGGUGCGAAAGCGUGGGGAGCAAACAGGAUUAGAUACCCUGGUAGUCCACGCCGUAAACGAUGUCUACUUGGAGGUUGUGCCCUUGAUGCGUGGCUUCCGGAGCUAACGCGUUCACUCGACCGCCUGGGGAGUACGGCCGCAGGGUUAAAACUCAAAUGAGUUGACGGGGGCCCGCACAAGCGGUGGAGCAUGUGGUUUAAUUCGAUGCGACGCGAAGAAACUUAUCUGGACUUGACAUCCUGUGAACUUUUCAGAGAUGAUAUUGUGCCUUCGCGAAACCGUGAAGACAGGUGCUGCAUGGG